GUAGGUACCUGAUAAUGAAAAAUCAAGAUGAAAUGCGACAAAGUCCCAUGUCAACGACCAUUGUAAAUGUCUGAAGAUCACGAAGUGGACAUAUAAAUGAAGGAUAGAGAUGAAGAAAACUAUCCUUUUAAAAGGAGUCGAUGCAAGAAGAAGGUUGGGCAUCUCUGGGCUAACCCAGCGAUUCUUAGGCAUAUCUGUGGGCUCCAAGAGUUAAUGAUCAGAAAGCCCUUGACACUGGAUGGCGUUUUAAUUAUGAUAAGGUUUGGAGCCCUGGAGAAAAAUGACUAGGAAUUAUCUUCAUCACGGAUUGUAGAAGCUCAUCUGUAAUCGAGUUCUUAUUAACUUUCUGCUGUGGGAAAAGAUCUGUUCAAAUUUAAUAUACUCUCAAACAAAGCGAUUAUUCUCGAUCAUUCUUAGUGCAACAAUUUGUAACCGAUCAUAUUUAUUUUUUGAAAAAAAUGAAAAAAAAAGUUAAUCAAAUCUGUAUGUUUAAAUGUGUGAAUAAAAUUUGUAUCAGUCUACAAAUUAAUAAA